UACGAAGGGUGCUAGCGUUGUUCGGAAUCACUGGGCGUAAAGCGCGCGUAGGCGGCUUGUCAAGUCAGGGGUGAAAUCCCACAGCUCAACUGUGGAACUGCCUUUGAAACUAGCAAGCUUGAGUGUCGGAGGGGAUAGCGGAAUUGCUAAUGUAGAGGUGAAAUUCGUAGAUAUUAGCAGGAACACCGGUGGCGAAGGCGGCUAUCUGGACGACAACUGACGCUGAGGCGCGAAAGCACGGGGAGCAAACAGG
rnacentral:rRNA from 1 species